CACACACACACACAUCUAUAUAUAUAUAUACACACAUACACACACACACACACACACACACACAUAUAUAUAUGCACACAUAUAUAUGUACAUACACACACAUAAAUAUGUAUAUAUAUAUGUUUGUUAUUCGAGCUAUGAUCUUGCUCACUGAACUGAUGUGGGCUGAAAAAGGUAUGAUAUUAGACAUGGUAGUAUUCCAGCUUGUACACUGUGCCAGAAAGCUAGAAAAGAGUAUAAAAAAAAAUCAGAUACAACUACAAAGUUAGCAUAUCAUCUUACAAAAAUGAAAAUAAAAAACUUUACAGUAUAUGACCGAAUAAUACUUUUUUGAUUUCUAAUUCAGCUCUUAAUUCAUUGGACUGUUUAGUUAAAUAUCAACUUUGUUAUACAUAGACUAUAUUAAUUUUAUCAAAGUUAGCAAUCUGUGCACUUAUAUAAAGAGUCUCAAUGCAUGCAUGAUCAAGUAUGUGAUUUAGGUGAAAGUCUCUAGAGUUUACAUUUUAUUUUCUUUCAAAGACAUACUCUUAAAUGAAAAUUAGUUUGGAAAAAAAAGAAGAUUACAUUCUAAACUUAAUAAUGGAGAAUACAUACACAGGUUGAACACCAAUAUGCACAUGUAUUUCAGAUG
rnacentral:lncRNA from 1 species